rnacentral:rRNA from 1 species
UACGGAGGGUGCAAGCGUUGCUCGGAAUUACUGGGCGUAAAGCGUGCGCAGGCGGCUUUGCAAGACAGAUGUGAAAUCCCCGGGCUCAACCUGGGAACUGCAUCUGUGACUGCAUAGCUAGAGUACGGUAGAGGGGGAUGGAAUUCCGCGUGUAGCAGUGAAAUGCGUAGAUAUGCGGAGGAACACCGAUGGCGAAGGCAAUCCCCUGGACCUGUACUGACGCUCAUGCACGAAAGCGUGGGGAGCAAACAGG